rnacentral:rRNA from 1 species
GAUGAACGCUAGCUACAGGCUUAACACAUGCAAGUCGAGGGGCAGCAUGAACUUAGCUUGCUAAGUUUGAUGGCGACCGGCGCACGGGUGAGUAACACGUAUCCAACCUGCCGAUGACUCGGGGAUAGCCUUUCGAAAGAAAGAUUAAUACCCGAUGGCAUAGUUCUUCCGCAUGGUAGAACUAUUAAAGAAUUUCGGUCAUCGAUGGGGAUGCGUUCCAUUAGGUUGUUGGCGGGGUAACGGCCCACCAAGCCUUCGAUGGAUAGGGGUUCUGAGAGGAAGGUCCCCCACAUUGGAACUGAGACACGGUCCAAACUCCUACGGGAGGCAGCAGUGAGGAAUAUUGGUCAAUGGCCGAGAGGCUGAACCAGCCAAGUCGCGUGAGGGAUGAAGGUUCUAUGGAUCGUAAACCUCUUUUAUAAGGGAAUAAAGUGCGGGACGUGUCCCGUUUUGUAUGUACCUUAUGAAUAAGGAUCGGCUAACUCCGUG